GCUCCUGGGAUAGCUCAGUCAGUAGAGCAUGAGACUUUUACUCUCUGGGUUGUGGGUUCAAGCCCCACACUGAACA